GACUAAGCCAUGCGAGUCCAGAGUGGUAAUGCACUCGGCAAACGGCUCAGUAACACGUGGGUAAUCUGCCCUCAGGACAGGGAUAACCCCGGAAAACUGGGGAUAAUAUCUGAUAGGUGGAGAAGUCUGGAACGACUCUCCGCUCAAAUGCUCCGGCGCCUGAGGAUGAGCCUGCGACCGAUUAGGUUGUUGGCGGUGUAACGGACCACCAAGCCUGAGAUCGGUACGGGUGUUGAGAGACAGAGCCCGGAGAUGGGGACUGAGACACGGCCCCAGGCCCUACGGGGCGCAGCAGGCGCGAAAACUCCGCAAUACACGAAAGUGUGACGGGGGAACCCCAAGUGCGCUCACGCAAGUGAGUGCUUUUGUGAAGUGUAAAUAGCUUCGCGAAUAAAAGCGGGGUAAGACCGGUGCCAGCCGCCGCGGUAACACCGGCCGCUUGAGUGGUGAUCACUAUUAUUGGGCCUAAAGCGUCCGUAGCCGGUCUGGUAAGUCCUUGGGCAAAUCCUGUCGCUUAACGAUAGGAAUUCUGAGGAUACUGUCAGACUUGAGGUCGAGAGAGGUCGGAGGUACUUCUGGGGUAGCGGUGAAAUGCUAUAAUCCUAGAGGGACCACCAGUGGCGAAAGCGUCCGACCAGAGCGAGCCUGACGGUAAGGGACGAAAGCCAGGGGAGCGAACGGGAUUAGAUACCCCGGUAGUCCUGGCCGUAAACGCUGUGGGCUAGGUGUUGCAUGCUCUACGAGGGCAAGCAGUGCCGAAGAGAAGUUGAUAAGCCUACCGCCUGGGAAGUACUAUCGCAAGAUAGAAACUUAAAGGAAUUGGCGGGGGAGCACAAGG
rnacentral:rRNA from 1 species